rnacentral:rRNA from 1 species
GAUGAACGCUGGUGGCGUGCCUAAUACAUGCAAGUCGAGCGAACAGAUGAGGAGCUUGCUCCUCUGACGUUAGCGGCGGACGGGUGAGUAACACGUGGAUAACCUACCUAUAAGACUGGGAUAACUUCGGGAAACCGGAGCUAAUACCGGAUAAUAUAUUGAACCGCAUGGUUCAAUAGUGAAAGACGGUUUUGCUGUCACUUAUAGAUGGAUCCGCGCCGCAUUAGCUAGUUGGUAAGGUAACGGCUUACCAAGGCAACGAUGCGUAGCCGACCUGAGAGGGUGAUCGGCCACACUGGAACUGAGACACGGUCCAGACUCCUGCGGGAGGCAGCAGUAGGGAAUCUUCCGCAAUGGGCGAAAGCCUGACGGAGCAACGCCGCGUGAGUGAUGAAGGUCUUCGGAUCGUAAAACUCUGUUAUUGGGGAAGAACAAAUGUGUAAGUAACUAUGCACGUCUUGACGGUACCUAAUCAGAAAGCCACGGCUAACUACGUG